ensembl:lncRNA
UAGAGUUCUGUUAAUGCAGCACUUUAUAAGAAAACCCAGGACUGAUCCCUUUGACAAACUAGAAUAACUAUAUAAAAAGCAAAUUUAGACUUAGUCUCGAGGUUUGUUCCCUGAAGAAAAUUUGGCAUAUUUUAAAGUUAAAUGCAUCAAUCUGAGCACUUUGAUAAUCAAUUUCAGUGAACAAAGUGAACAUGAACGGGUUAAAAGGUCUUUGCAUUGUACCUGCAUUGUAUUAGUUUUGAUAUUGUAUCCAGGGUCGUCCUUAGGGGGGUGCAACUGGUGCAGUUGCACCGGGCCCCGUGCUUGAGGGGGCCCCCCGGCGAACGGACAGAGGGGGGAAAGGAACGCGAUCACGAAUGGACUAAGAAAUUGGACAGCAAAGAUUCUGGCAAGCACAGCUCACAGGUCUUGUCUGGAGGAGGGCCAGCUUCCAUCUGGAGCUUAUUGCAGCUGACGCCAUGCAGCGCAGUGCAGGAAAGUCUGAUUAUUGAUGUGAAUAUUAUUUUGUGUGUUCACUACGUAUGUGUAUUGCAGCCUAACUGUUCACGGAGGCAAGUUAGCUACCUCUUAUCCUAAAAGCAGUGUUUAAAAUCUCCUCAGCAGGCAGAUAAUACAUCUCCAAUGAACAACCUUUAACUAAUGCCAUUCAAGCUGGGUCAUGGGAAAAGACAGAAUCCAGACCUCAUUCAUUAGAAAAAAGCCCUCUGUGCCGAUGCAUAUGGCUGUGAACGCUGCCAUGGAAAAUGCAGCCUAAUGCACUACAGCAGUUUGACUGAUUCAUUGCAGAUGGCACGGGCAGCGCUCGAGCAGAAACAUGGCCAAAUGCUGUAUUCAAGUCAAUGCAUGAUUCUGGGAGAAUUUAAACAAUCACUCUAAGAGGCUUUC